UUUUCUAUAGCCAUGUUUCCUCAGCUUAGAGUUGUGCUUCCCGCUUUAAGGCACACUUAACCAGCAUGGCUACCCCAGCAUGACGACACGACAGUGGUAGGCCUGAUCACCAACAACGAUGAGACGGACUGCACAACGCAUCACCGGGGGUACACUACCUGCCCUCCAGGACACCUACAUCACCCGAUGUCACAGGAAGGCAAAAAAAGAUCAUCAAGGACAAUAACCACCUGAGCCACUGCCUGUUCACCCCGCUAUCAUCCAGAAGGUCCUGGCAGAGUUGUGCAGACUCAGGACAACGGAGCUUUGGAGGAAUACGCAGAUUUAAAGAGGAGUCCGUAAUUUGCUUUCUAAUGAUCAUGAUCUUUUCCUCAAAGAAGUUCAUGAAUUCAUCACUGCUGAAGUGAAAGCAAUCCUCUCUUGGGGAAUGCUGCUUUUUAGUUAGCUUUGCGACAGUAUCAAAAAUACAUUUCGGAUUAUUCUUAUUUUCCUCAAUUAAGUUGGAAAAAUAGGAUGAUCGAGCAGCAGUGAGGGCUUUUCGAUACUGCACGGUACUGUCUUUCCAAGCUAGUCGGAAGACUUCCAGUUUGGUGUGGC
rnacentral:lncRNA from 1 species